AUGUCCCACCGGAAAACUGAACCGGCUGGAGAAGGCGGCAGCGCACGGCGGCGGCCACUGUCUUCUCCGGCGAGCCUCAACCAAAUCUCUCAAUCUGAUGAAGCAAGACCCCCAGAAUUCAAAUCUGGUGUCUAUUUUGGAAAAGGAGCAACAGAUCUUCCUAAAUCUACAAGGGGAAACGAAACACUAGGUGUUCAAACUCAAACAAAAUUAGUAAAUCAAGCUAUGAGGAUGACGCGGACGAUGAUGAUGAAGAUGAAUCCGAAACGAGAAUGA